AACGAACGCUGGCGGCAUGCCUAACACAUGCAAGUCGAACGAGACCUUCGGGUCUAGUGGCGCACGGGUGCGUAACGCGUGGGAACCUGCCCUUAGGUUCGGAAUAACUCCCCGAAAGGGGUGCUAAUACCGGAUAAUGUCUUCGGACCAAAGAUUUAUCGCCUUUGGAUGGGCCCGCGUUGGAUUAGCUAGUUGGUAGGGUAAAAGCCUACCAAGGCGACGAUCCAUAGCUGGUCUGAGAGGAUGAUCAGCCACACUGGGACUGAGACACGGCCCAGACUCCUACGGGAGGCAGCAGUAGGGAAUAUUGGACAAGGGGCGAAAGCCUGAUCCAGCAAUGCCGCGGGAGUGAUGAAGGCCUUAGGGUUGUAAAGCUCUUUUACCCGGGAUGAUAAUGACAGUACCGGGAGAAUAAGCUCCGGCUAACUCCGUG
rnacentral:rRNA from 1 species